rnacentral:rRNA from 1 species
GAGUUUGAUCGUGGCUCAGGAUGAACGCUGGCGGCGUGCUUAACACGUGCAAGUCGAACGGGCUCAUAUUGAAACCUAGUGAUUUAUGAGUUAGUGGCGGACGGGUGAGUAACGCGUGGAGAACCUGCCGUAUACUGGGGGGAUAACACUUAGAAAUAGGUGCUAAUACCGCAUAAGCGCACAGCUUCGCAUGAAGUGGUGUGAAAAACUCUGGUGGUAUACGAUGGUUCCGCGUCUGAUUAGCUUGUUGGCGGGGUAAUGGCUCACCAAGGCGACGAUCAGUAGCCGGCCUGAGAGGGUGAACGGCCACAUUGGGACUGAGACACGGCCCAAACUCCUACGGGAGGCAGCAGUGGGGAAUAUUGCACAAUGGGGGAAACCCUGAUGCAGCGACGCCGCGUGAGUGAAGAAGUAUUUCGGUAUGUAAAGCUCUAUCAGCAGGGAAGAAAUAGCGACCUUUGGGUCGCCAGACGGUACCUGAUUAAGAAGCCCCGGCUAACUACGUGCCAGCCGCCG